rnacentral:lncRNA from 1 species
GGGAUAAUCGACCACAUUUAUUAGGAGCUAGGGCUGCUAAUACACAGAAUAAAGGGAGAAAUACAUCUGGAAUUCAGUAGAUUCAUUGAAUAUCUCUUGAUGGUUCCAAUUUCAGCAAUAACUGUGAAUAGGGCAAUUCAACAACUGUAACCUGACAAAACAAGGCAACUAACGCUUCAGAAACCAUGAGGAUGAAGGUCCAUGCUAUUCUACAAGGCAAACAACCAGGGGAAGCUAAAUGCUACCAGCAGCGGGUAGCUCUGGAACUGGUAGAGCUGAAGUGGAGAAAUCAGGCAAGUGUUGAACCUACAUGUUAAGACACUGUUCAGGUGAGUCUUAGAAAAGCCCUAAAAUGAGUGAAACCAAAUACGUUACCC